rnacentral:lncRNA from 1 species
UCCAAUUUAGCCUUUAUUUGGCUAUCUGAAGCUUGUUUCGUUUCGAGUUUUCUAGGUUUUUUGAAUUCUUAUUUUUCGUCGGCGAUUUUUUCAGUGACCCAUGCUCUUUUCUUCCUAUUCUCUCUUCUGCUUUUUGUGGUGUGUGUGGGUGUGUUCUGUUUUCUUGGACAGGUGCCUUAUUUUUCCGCCGAGGAUUUCUGGCAAGCUACAGUACUUCCGGCGACUACAUGUUCAGACUUUCGGCAGGACGCAACACAACUACACAUUCCGAUAAGCUUCAGGAAAACUUGCACUAGGUACUAGUCGCGGCGGCGAGGCCUGUUCGCGGCGUUUGGGAGUGAAGAGCUAAACAACACCGGCCGGGACGUGCAAGGGUCGGUAGCAGUUGACCUUGGGCACAUUAAAGUCUAUUUUCAGGUUUUUCCAUCGGGAGUUGGUACCUCCCGCUCUCUUGUUUACUUUGUACACCCUUUUACGUAUUUUAGCUAGCAUUCCGUGUGAGGUUUACUCUGUUGCUAUCCAGUUUGCAGCAUUUUGUGUAUUCCGCUAUAGUGCGUGUGUGC